UUUUCAUCAGACAGUUGCACACUUCAUGAGAUAAACAAUCACAUAAAAUUUUGUUUGGAAGAGACCAGAAAAACCAUAUGAUGACUGGAAAUAUGAGGGGAAGAGGAUGAAAGGGCAUGGUCGUAUGAUUUUCGUCACUUCGACUGCCUUCUUCUGGAGGAUUAUGUACGUUCUUUUUACUUUUUCCGCUGUUUUCCUUCCCCUUCGAUGAGUAAAACUAACUUCAUCACCAUUCUUUGUCUCCCUUUCUUUCUCCACGUCCGCCAUCCCCUUCUCUUACCCGAUUCUUAUGACUACCCACUGUAAUCCUCCCAAUUCCACGUAGCUCCGCCCAUGUUCACAAGUUCUAAGCACUGGAAGCAAAAAGAAAGCAACUCAUGCCCCCCUGAAACUAGGAUAUUUCCCGCCGGAGUGGGUAAAAGAGCAAUUUUUCAGGACCCGUCACUCCCAAUUCUUUGACUGUUUAUUUUUUUUUCUUUCAGAACCAAAGUUGGGAAUCGGGGUUUGUGUACUGAUAAUGUUGCAUUGCCUAAGUUUUACCCGUUGGAACUAUAGAUGUAAAAACUUGAGUCAGGAAUUCCACAGCAUUGGCAAAAAAGAUUUUCUAUUUGAUGCAAAUAAAUAUUUGAAGGAGUUGGCGAACUCCGGUCGAAUUGAUGAAGCUAGGAAAGUGUUUGAUGCAAUGCCUAAGAGAGACGAGUUUUCGUGGAAUACAAUGAUUUCUGGGUAUGCAAAUUUAGGAAGGUUUGUUGAAGCUAGGACACUCUUCGACGAGACUCCAAAAAUGAGUGCAAUUACUUGGGCAUCAUUUAUUUCUGGAUACUGUAAAAUGGGGUGUGAAAUUGAGAGUAUUGAACUGUUUUGGCAAAUGCUAUGCGAGGGGCACAAGCCCAGUAAGUUUGUGUUGGGAAAUGUGCUUAGGAUGUGCUCUAUUAAGCGUCUACUUUCAAGAGGUGAACAAACUCAUGGUUAUGCUGUUAAGACACAAUUUGAUAGGGAUGUCUUCAUUGUUACUGGGCUAAUUGACAUGUACGUGAAAUGUUGUCGUGUUCUUGAAGCUGAAUAUCUUUUUAAAAAGAUGGCUAGUGGGAAAAAUCAUGUUACAUGGACUGCUAUGAUUAAUGGUUAUUCGCUAAAUAGUGAUGCUGACAAAGCAAUUCAAUGCUUUAGGGGUAUGAGGUCUGAAGGGGUAGAGGCCAACCAGUAUACAUUCCCAGCAGUGUUGACAGCUUGUGGAUCUGUUUCUGAUCUUAUGUUUGGGGUGCAGGUGCAUAGUUGUGUUGUUCAUGGUGGUUUUGGUGAUAAUGUGUUUGUUCAAAGUGCGUUGGUCAAUAUGUAUGCCAAGUGUGGGGACUUGAGAAGUGCCAGGAAAGCAUUAGAGUCAAGGGAGGUUGUUGAUGUGAUUUCAUGGAAUGCCAUGAUAGUUGGGUGUGUGAGACAGGGUUCCUCAGAGGAUGCAUUGUCAUUAUUUCGUACAAUGCAUGCAAAACGUAUGGAAUUUGAUGAGUUCACAUACCCCUCCAUCCUCAAUGCUCUUGCUUCCAAGAAAGAUGUAAUAAAUGGGAAAUCCGUCCACUCUUUGAUCUUCAAAACUGGAUUUGAGAAUUACAAACUUGUAAGCAAUGCUCUAGUCGAUAUGUAUGCUAAGCAGAAUGACUUAGAUAGCGCUUCUAAGGUGUUCAAUUUUCUGGAGGAAAAGGAUGUUGUUUCCUGGACCUCCCUUGUCACUGGUUGUGCUCACAAUGGCCGCCAUGAAGAAGCUUUGAAGUUUUUUUGUGAAAUGAGAACCGAUGGGAUUAAUCCUGACCAAAUUGUCACUGCCAGCAUUUUGAGUUCCUGCGCAGAGUUGGCAUUGUUAGAUUUCGGGCUACAAGUUCAUGCAAAUUUCAUUAAGUCAGAACUUGGAACGUCCUUAUCAGUUGAUAAUUCUCUUAUAACAAUGUAUGCAAAUUGUGGGUGCCUGGAACAUGUCAAUAAAAUUUUUGCCUCAAUGCAAAUUCGAAACGUGAUCACUUGGACAGCUCUUAUAGUUGGUUACGCGCAAAAUGGUAAAGGAAUGGAGUCUCUCCGAUUCUAUGAUGAAAUGAUAGCUUGUGGGACUAAACCUGACUAUAUUACUUUUAUAGGCUUACUAUUUUCUUGCAGCCAUGCAGGUCUCGUUGAACUUGGUCGCUAUUACUUUGCGUCCAUGGUAAAAGAUUAUGGCAUAAGGCCUGGUCCUGAUCACUAUGCCUGUAUGAUCGAUCUUUUGGGUCGAUCAGGGAAAAUGCAUGAGGCACAAAGUUUACUGGAAGAAAUGGAUAUCAAACCUGAUGCAACUGUUUGGAAAGCAUUGCUUGCUGCAUGUAGAGUACAUAGGAAUGUUAAUCUGGCAAAGAGAGCGGCAACUGCUCUCUUUGAAUUGGAACCUCGAGAUGCUGUCCCUUAUGUCAUGUUAUCAAAUAUAUAUUCUGCAACGGGAAAUUGGGAAGAAGCUGCUGCAGUUAGAAGAUUGAUGAAAUCAAGAGGCAUCAGCAAGGAACCUGGACGUAGUUGGAUGGAAGUAAACAGCAAAGUGCACACCUUUGUGUCUGAAGAUAGAAAUCAUCCAAACGCAGACGAGAUUUACUUGAAGCUUGAUGAUAUUGUAAAGUUGAUUAAGGAAGCGGGUUAUGUGCCUGACAUGAAUUUCGCUCUUCAUGACAUUAAUGAAGAGGGCAAGGAACAUGGUCUCGCCUAUCACAGUGAGAAAUUGGCAGUUGCUUUUGGGCUUCUCUGCGUGCCACAAGGAGCACCGAUUCGGAUAUAUAAGAACCUUCGGGUCUGUGGUGACUGCCAUACUUCCAUGAAGUUCAUAUCAGAUAUUUUUCAAUGCCAUAUUAUUUUAAGGGAUUCAAAUUGUUUUCAUCAUUUUAAAGAAGGAAUGUGUUCUUGUGGGGAUUACUGGUAGGAAGUGCAUCCUCUUACUUGUUCGAUCUGAAUCUCCCUUUAAGAAGCAUGAGGUUUGAUAAGCUAUUCUGUGUGAUUAGAUGGUCGAUAACGGUGUCAAUGUUUGUGAUAGCCACGUUUUCAUCAAACCAUCACCAGGAUAGAUCUGAAGUGGAAUUUGGAGUGGUUUACUUACCCCGGUGUGGACCACCUACAUCCUAAUAUUGUUCUUCUCGUGGCUGGUUGUGCUCUUCGUUGUUGGUUGUUCCCUUGGCUUGGCAUGGACCAUUGUUCAUCUCUCACAUUUCCUUCAACGUUCUAAAUUAUUGUUGAUUUAGUGAUUAUAUUUAUUUGUGAUGGUAAGGAGCAGAAAUAUUGUUUAUAUUUUUUCUACCUGUUAGGGUUUGGUUUAAUUAAUUUUGUCUGUGCUGGAAGGUUCGUUGUGUUUUUGAGCAAGGAUAGACUGGUUUAUGGAUCUGACUUUGAUGAUUUUUAUGUUUAAUGUGUAUCGUCCAAGGAUAAUGAUUUCCCAGCUGAGAAUUAAGUAAAAAAAUUAACUGGUUAUAUAAUAGUUGUUGUUCUUAUGGAAUCAAAGAUUAAAUUGAACAUUUACAUACCACUUUUUAUCAGUGAUAACUACAAAAAAAAAAAAAAAAAUUGUUUUUGAUGUUUAAUGGGGGUAUGGUCCAAGGAGAAAGAUUUACCUGCUUAGAAUUAAUUAGAAAACCAUUUAGGUAAUAAUUGUGAUUCUUUGUGGAAUCUAUUUGAUAAAAUUUUUAAUGCCAAUAUGGUGUUCAGAGAAUAAUUUACUAGCUGAGAAUUAAGCAGAAAAAUUAACCAUUUAUGCAAUCAUUGUGGUUCUUGUGGAAUCUAUGAUUUGAUUAAACUUCAGACAACUUUUUUACAGUGUUGAAUAUGUUUUAGAGCUCUAUAGCUUAUGUAUGAGUUAAUCAAGGAACCUCUCUGUGGUCAUGGAUGUUAGUGGAAUUUUGCAACUACUCAACCACAGGGUUCAGUGAAUUGUGUCCAUGAGGGCAUACAAACUACUUUAUCAGCAUGAUCUAACAUAUUAUUAUGUGAUCCCUUGCUUAUGGGCCCCAAUUAGUUCCUUUAUUGAUUUCAUCCUAAACAAACUUUUACAGACAGUGUACUUUCUCUAGGUCUUUGUACCUGCUAGGAUAGAGCUUGUAUUUUGUAUGUAAAUGUGCUGAAUUUUCUUAUAUGUGGUCUAGGUUGCUUAUCAAUGCUUUCACUGGUAGAAGGGAACAACAUUUUCAGAUGAUCAGGGCAUCUACAAUAUGUUGACUUGAUGGGAGCAAAUAGACAAUUGCAAGCAGCUUACUCGCAUCAGGAAGUUUUUGACAGUCAUACCCAUGGUGCUGUUAGUAUUCUCCCAAUCUUGAUUAUAUGUUUGCUCCUCAUUAGUUAUUAAAUCGACUUUUAUCUUAUAAAUAGCUAUUGAUUUUGAAAUGGCAUGGUUGUUGUUGAUAUUGAGUCCUUCAAACAUUGUUAUACAGUUUUGCAAUAGGCCUUUUUCUGGUAAGGUGUGAAAUGAUAAUGCCAUCCAAAUACUUAUCUAGCAUAGACAAUGGAUAUUGCAUUAGCCGAUGGAGAUAUAUUUAGACAAAAAGCAAUAUGUCCAUGACUCAGUGCUUCUUAUCCUUUCAUAUAUCAGCCUCCAUGUCCAUUCAAAAUAGUUGAUGUCAUUAGUGAAUUUUCCAGUAUGCAUUGCAACUGUUAGUGUAUUAAACUUCCAUUAGGUAAAGCCAUAAAAAUGACCAAAUUGGAUAAGCUCCUCCUAAGCUCAACCCAAAAUGGCCCCACAAGCAUGAUACAAGAGUACAUACUGUGUGUUGUAUGAGAAAUACAUGUUAUUUAUUUAUUUAUUUUAUUACGUGAAUGUGAUCUUUCCAUAAUAAAGUAAAAGACUGUUCUUGCUCCUAAGUUUAUUGCUCCAUUAACGCUAUUUGAUCGAUCAAGAUAGCUUUUUUAGUUUGUAGCUUGCUUGCUCUGUGCUUGUGCUAAGGAGUAGAGAACAGUCCUUUACCCUUUUCAUAUCAUUAUAUAAGCAUAUAAAUAGAAUUCAUUGAUGCACUGACAUUGUAAACAAGAUCUAUUCAUUGUUAGUAUGGAAAACAAAUAUAAAUAAAUCAAUAACAUUGCAUUCAUUAACUUUUUUGGUCUAAGACUGUUAUUGAGGAUUUUAGAUAUGUAGAAGAGGUAAAUCUUGAAUAUUGUUGCAAAUUGCAAUUGCAAUUGCUUGUCUUAUCGCACUGCCAAAUGAGAAAGGACAUGUUGCCAAAGAUGGCACCACCACCACCACCAUCAUAGGUGGUGCAGCAGUUAACCACCAUAUCACUACAGGAUUCUUGAAGGCACUAUCUCUUUGUAGCCUUCAUCUGAUCCAUGAUGAAAGGUUGAAUUAUGCUUGUUUGGUUGCAUUGUUGUCAAGUUUGUUCAUGAAGUUGAUGGUAUUUGAUAGAUUGCAGACCGACCUGUGAGGGAAGGGCAAAUGUAUGUGCCGGUUGAUUAGAAAGGAUUUAGGUUAGGAGUUCUGUUAGCAUUUUGUUGAACUAUAUAGCUAGGAACCAGGAUACCAGGGUAGAAUCCUUGCUUCUAGUCCCUCUAUCUUAGAUUUAAGACGUCAUUUUCCAUUUUAUAAGCUAAUGAAAUGCACUAAACACUCAAAUCUUUUCUGUUGCAAUCAACCUCUCAUCUUGGAUGCCAUUCCUUGCAAACCAAAUGGGCCUUAAGUAUUGUUUGAUUAGCAAACGAAUGGAUGUAUAGCUUCACAAGUUUUCCUUCUAACCAGAACUUCCGAUGAGGCUUCUUUAUAGAGCUGUUCAUUAUUUGGCAAUAAUAUGUGUUGGAAAUCAAGAAGAUAUUUGACAGUAAUUACCAAGAUUGAUUAGCUGUAAAUUAGAAGGUAAUUUGUCAAUCAUUGUAAAUUUGGAAUGUAUAUUUAUUAGGUAAACUAAUUAGUUGUUAUUUUCCUUGUUUAGGCAUUAUUUCCCUAAUUUUUAUUUCCUGUAAUUCCUAGGAAUGGGUAAGUCAGAAAUUAUUCAAUUCAAUAGAAAAGAAUCAAUUCCAAAUUAUUCUCUCAGUUUUUUAUGGUAUUAGAACCAGCAACUGCAUAUCAACUCCUUCUUGUUCUCCUCUAUUCUGCCUUUCUUUUUCCAGUAUCCUAGUUUUUUGCCUCGGUUGUAGCACCAUGUCUGAUGCUUCAAUUAAAUCUGUCGUUGUCGCACCAUCCUCAUCUGUUACAAACCUAUCAAAAGGUAGUGGAAUCCACUCUGAGUCUCACUCUGUUCAAAUCACCACUAUUCACUUGAUUGGUGAUAAUUUUUUGCAUUGGUCUCAAUUGGUUUGCAUGUACAUCCGAGGGCGUGGGAAUAUGGACCAUUUGACUGGUAAAAAAAAGGCCCCCUGCAGAAGAUGAUCCGGUCUAUGUGACUUGGGAUGCUGAAAAUUCGAUGGUCAUGACAUGGCUUGUUAAUUCUAUGGAAGAAGAUAUUAGUUCUAACUAUAUGUGCUAUCCAACGGCACAAGAGCUUUGGGAGAAUGUGAACCAGAUGUAUUCAAGGAGAGGACCCUCAAACUUGGUGAAAUGCGUCAAGGAGAGGACGCUGUCACAAGUAUUUCAACUCUCUGAGACAGGUGUGGCAAGAUCUUGAUCUUUUCAAUACCUAUGAAUGGAAAUCUGUGGAAGAUAGCAAGCAUCACAAGGAAAUUGUCGAGGACAAUCAAAUUUUUAAAUUCCUUGUUGGCCUCAAUAUUGAAUUUGAUGAAGGGGGAGAAUCAUUAGAAGAUAGCCCCUUCCUUCAAUUGGUGAUGUCUUUUUGGAGGUAAGGAGAGAAGAGAGUCGAAGGAAUGUGAUGCUUGGCAAGAAAGGACCUAGUGCUGUUGUUGAAACUUCUGCCUUGUGGCUGCAUAGUGUAAGAAUUAUUGAUUUUUAGAUUCGAUGCCCCUCAUUGUGAGGUUUCCUCCUAUUAAAUAGAAAGAAUCUAAGUAAUUACAAAGGCUAAGUACAUAACUCACACCUAACUAUCUGCUAUUUACUACAUGACACAUGCCUGCCUAUUUAUUAUUGCAUAAUUCAUGCCUAACUAUUUGCAAUCUACUGAUUGACAUCCCCCUUCAAAUUGAUGCUGGUUGAUCAAGAAGCAUCAAUUUGCUCACAAGAAAUCGAUGAUGCUGUCAAGUCAUGGCCUUUGUAAAAAUGUCAGCUACCUGGAGGGCACAUGAGGGAAAGAAAUGACAUAAGUAUCCAAGGCUUCCCGAAUAGAAUGACAAUUCACCUCAAUGUGCUUCGUACGCUCAUGGUAAACCGGAUUAGAAGCAAUUUGAAUAGCACUCGUGUUAUCAGCAUGAAGGGGAGUAGGAGUAGAUUGUGGAAAACCAAUCUCAGCUAAAAGGCUACAAAGCCAAAUACUUUCGGAGCAUGCAGUAGAUAUCGUACGAUAUUCAGAUUCAGUAGAUGAUUUAGAAACACGAGCCUGUUUCUUACUCUUCCAGAAGAUUGGAGAAUCACCCAAAACAUGCACCAACCAGUGAUGCACCUUCGGGUGUCUGGACAUCCGGCCCAAUCUGCAUCACUAUAAGCAGUAAGACGAAAUGGAGUUCCUGCAGGAAAAGUUAAACCACGGCUAGGUGUGCCUCGAAGGUAUCAAAUGAUAAGACGAACAACAGCCAAAUGAAGAUGGCAUGGAGUUUGCAUGAACUGGCUAAUCUGCUGGACGCAAACACAAUAUCCAGUCGAGUAAUAGCUAGAUAAUUUAAACUACCCACAAGUUGACGAUACAUAGUGGGAUCGAAUAGAAGAUCACCUUCCUCAUUGCGAUACUUUGUAUUGACUUCCAUAGGAGUAUCUAAAGAAGAUGGCUGUAAUACUUUAAUUAAUUAAAAAGAAAAGUCAAACUAAAAAAAAAUAUUAAAAAGAAAAAGAAAAAGAAAAGCCCAAACAAAACCCAUUCCCAAUGUGUGUGUGUGUGUGUGUGUGUAUAUAUAUAUAAUUCAAAUCCAUAACACACACUACACACACCAAGAAAGCUCUUGAGCAGGAAGAGAAAGAGAAAGGAAAAAAAGGGAAAAAUAUAUAUAUAUAUGAAAAGAGGAAGAGAAGAAAGGAAAAAAUAGAAAAAAUUCGUCAACGUGUUAGAAAUUAAGUGUUCUAUAGUAUUAGGCUUGAAUUCCUCAAUUUUGAAAGGUAAUUAAAAAGUUACUUAUUGAAAGGUUAUGUAUGAUUUUAUAGUUGUUAGAUUGUUAAAUUAAAUUCAAUUUUAUUAAAAGGGUUAAGUUUAAUAAACUAGAAAAUUGAGUAAAAUGAAAGAAAAAUUAGUUUUAGUAAUAAAGAGACUUUAGAAAUUGCCUAAACGUAAAAUAAUUAAGUUUUUGUAUCGCCUAUUUAAUUAUUAAAAUUACUUAAAAUAGUUAAUUGUUGAUUUAAAAAUUAUAUUAUAUUUCAGGCUGCGAUACGGAUAUCGGGACAGUUUACUGACCGAGUUGAUUUUGGCGUAUAUAGUUUUGUGAGUGGAAAAAUAUAAAUAUUUUUAAAAUAUUUAUAAAUUAAGUACAUUAGUAAAGCAUGUGCAAUUAUGCGUUCGAUUUUAUGAUUAUUACAGAAAUAUAUUUUAUUAUGCUACAUUGGGAUUUCAAAUAUUGUACAUAGUACAUUGUGAAUUGGAAUAUGAGAUAUGAUAUUGAGAUCGACUAGAAAAAUACCCAUAAUUAUAUAUUUCUUCUAGCUCACAGAGGAGCUUUGGCCGUGUUCUAUGCUACACGGAGGGUUUUGACCUGACAUUAGUCUUGAUCGUGUACAUAUAGUUCACAGAGGGGCCUUGGUCGUGUUCUAGAAUUAAUUAUGAGAGGUCUUGAGACCGGCUUUUUGUUCACGGAGAGGAACAAAGGCCCGUGGCGAAAGUUCUUAGCCCGAGGGACGGAUUAUAUAUUUCAGUCAGAGGGUACAUUUUUGGUGAAUUUUUCAGCAAUUUUGAAGUGAUGAGAUUAUAGCAUGGUUAUCAGCUGAUAUUCAUAUCAUGUUUUUAAGAUAAUAUUUUAUGAACUUAUGUGAAUAUUUCACUUUUUGGCUAUAAUUACAUGAUGGAAGCUUGUGAAUUAUCAAAUGAUAUAAAUUUGAUUUUCAAUCAAAAUGUAUAAAUGAACAAUUAUAUUUGUUUUGAAUUUCUCCACUUACUGAGCUAUCAACUCAUGUAUUUUUCCACGUUUUUCCUUAUCAGGCAGCAGUUGAGAAUCUGGGCAUCUUUUGGAGUUGAGUCUUGAUUUUGGAGUUAGAGCCACACGAUAGAGUUUGUUAGUAUGACUCACUUCAUAGAACACGUAGUCAGUGUUUUGGGACGUAUGUUCAUGUCUAGAUGUGAUUUUGCAUCACUUGUAGAUAGUUAUGAGGCUCACUAUGUAUUUUGUAUCCAUGUGUACAUUUCAUUUUAUUUCUUGGUAAAAGUUGAGGUUUCG
rnacentral:lncRNA from 1 species